AUGAUCUGUAGGUGUGGUUGGCCGAAUAUUGUAAGGGGUUAAUACGUAGUUUGUAUUUGAAUAGUUAGAUUAACGUGUUAGUAAUCCAAUUGUAGGCGGUUCGUGUGUGGAUCUCGUCAACAUAUCGUCGCAAACAGGAAAUCCCCAACCAUAGUGGGCUUGGAGCUGUGAGGGAAUUCGGAGUGGCCACCCGUUCUGAAAGUUUGAUUUUCUUCUGGUGAACUGGACAUUCUUUUAUUUACGUUUGAAGUUUUGGGUUUUUAAAUGUAAUAAGGCUGCUUAAUUAUUUUUGAUGGUUUUAAUAUGUAUUACUAAGAUAGGCAUUACUUA